GCUGACACAUUCCGGCCAAUCUCCAGCAGACCCUCCCUCCCAGACCCUCCCACCUCCUGGACAGCAUCCAUGUUGAAGCUGCCUUCAACAUGGAUGCUGUCCAGGAGGUGGGAGGGUCUGGGAGGGAGGGUCUGCUGGAGAUUGGCCGGAAUGUGUCAG